AGUGAACGCUGGCGGUAGGCCUAACACAUGCAAGUCGAACGGCAGCACAGUAAGAGCUUGCUCUUACGGGUGGCGAGUGGCGGACGGGUGAGGAAUACAUCGGAAUCUACUUUUUCGUGGGGGAUAACGUAGGGAAACUUACGCUAAUACCGCAUACGACCUACGGGUGAAAGCAGGGGAUCUUCGGACCUUGCGCGAUUGAAUGAGCCGAUGUCGGAUUAGCUAGUUGGCGGGGUAAAGGCCCACCAAGGCGACGAUCCGUAGCUGGUCUGAGAGGAUGAUCAGCCACACUGGAACUGAGACACGGUCCAGCCUCCUACGGGAGGCAGCAGUGGGGAAUAUUGGACAAUGGGCGCAAGCCUGAUCCAGCCAUACCGCGUGGGUGAAGAAGGCCUUCGGGUUGUAAAGCCCUUUUGUUGGGAAAGAAAAGCAGCAGGUUAAUACCCCGCUGUUCUGGCGGUACCCAAAGAAUAAGCACCGGCUAACUUCGUG
rnacentral:rRNA from 1 species